AAAAUGUUUCAUACCUAGUGGUACUUAGUCAUAGGUAUGUGACUUAACAGUAUAACUUAUGACUAAGUACUAUUAGGUAAGAAAUA